rnacentral:rRNA from 1 species
UAGUGAGUUUGAUCCUGGCUCAGGAUGAACGCUGGCGGCGUGCCUAAUACAUGCAAGUCGAGCGCAGGAAACCGACGGAACCCCUUCGGGGGGAAGCCGGCGGAAUGAGCGGCGGACGGGUGAGUAACACGUAAAGAACCUGCCCUCAGGUCUGGGAUAACCACGAGAAAUCGGGGCUAAUACCGGAUGGGUCAUCGAACCGCAUGGUUCGAGGAUGAAAGGCGCUUCGGCGUCGCCUGGGGGAUGGCUUUGCGGUGCAUUAGCUAGUUGGUGGGGUAAUGGCCCACCAAGGCGACGAUGCAUAGCCGACCUGAGAGGGGUGAUCGGCCACACUGGGACUGAGACACGGCCCAGACUCCUACGGGGAGCAGCAGUGGGGGAAUUUUCCGCAAUGGGCGAAUGCCCUGACGGAGCAAGACCGCGUG